rfam:Ipomoea nil DNA, scaffold: scaffold2283, cultivar: Tokyo-kokei standard.
GUGGGCGUGCCGGAGUUGUUAUCGGGCAUGACUAGAAAUCUUGUGGGCUUUGCCUGUGUAGGUUCGAAUCCUGCUGCUCACG